GAUGAACGCUGGCGGCGUGCCUAAUACAUGCAAGUCGAGCGAACAGACGAGGAGCUUGCUCCUCUGACGUUAGCGGCGGACGGGUGAGUAACACGUGGAUAACCUACCUAUAAGACUUGGAUAACUUCGGGAAACCGGAGCUAAUACCGGAUAAUAUAUUGAACCGCAUGGUUCAAUAGUGAAAGACGGUUUUGCUGUCACUUAUAGAUGGAUCCGCGCCGCAUUAGCUAGUUGGUAAGGUAACGGCUUACCAAGGCGACGAUGCGUAGCCGACCUGAGAGGGUGAUAGGCCACACUGGAAGUGAGACACGGUCCAGACUCCUACGGGAGGCAGCAGUAGGGAAUCUGACGCAAUGGGCGAGAGCCUGACGGAGCAACGCCACGUGAGUGAUGAAGGUCUUCGGAUCGUAAAGCUCUGUUAUUAGGGAAGAACAAAUGUGUAAGUAAAUGUGCACGUCUUGACGGUACCUAAACAGAAAGCCACGGCUAACUACGUG
rnacentral:rRNA from 1 species